rnacentral:rRNA from 1 species
UAGUCUGCAACUCGACUACAUGAAGCUGGAAUCGCUAGUAAUCGCGAAUCAGAAUGUCGCGGUGAAUACGUUCCCGGGUCUUGUACACACCGCCCGUCACACCAUGGGAGUCAGUAACGCCCGAAGUCAGUGACCCAACCUAUUAGGAGGGAGCUGCCGAGGGUGGGACCGAUAACUGGGGUGAAGUCGUAACAAGGUACC